CUGCCAAAAGCCCCUACCCUGACGGUGUGGGUCGAGGGGAGCCCGGUCACCACCCUGCUGGACACCGGGAGUACCGUGACCCUCGCCCGGCCGACGAUCCUGCCUAAAGAACUCGGCUGGAGCGGGACCAUCACCAUAACUUGCGUCCAUGGGGAUACCAGGGAAGUCCCAGUGGCCGAGGUCCAGGUCCACGGAAAAGCAGGCUCCUGGCCACUCCUAGUCGGUGUUAUCCCCAACCUCCUGGUGCCCCUGCUCCUCAGAAGAGACUGGCCAGGGUUCCCGGCCAGCCCAGUGCCAAAAAAAAGCAGGGCGCUGCGACGCCCGAAGGAGACCCGAGUCCGGCAGGCCUAUUUGGCGAAAGACGAAGGAGACGCCACAGCAGAAGGUAAGCCGCACACACAUACUAACCCGAUGUUGUCUGUGUUUCAACAGGUGAACCGGCAGGGAAAUUUUGGGCGGGAGCAGAAGGAGGAUGACCGCCUGAAACACUGUUGGGCCCAGGUGCGACAGAUAGAAGGGGUCGAUCAGGACCCUGACCAGAGGCUACCCUCCUCCUACUUCCUCGUUCGGGGUGGUCUCCUCUACCAGCGAUCCUGCCACUGAGGGGAGCUUGUGGACCUCCUGGUAGUACCCAAAACCAAAACACAGACUCUAAUUCACCUGGCCCACAUCCAUCUGCUCGGCAGCCACCUGGGAGCACGAAACACCCUGGAAAAGCUAAGGGAUCGCUUUGUCUGGCCAGGGAUGGAUGCAGAAGUCUGGGGCUUCUGCCAACAUUGCCCCCAGUGCCAGCACACCACCCCACGGAGACCCCCGCCGGGAUAUCCAAGGACAUCUUUACCGACCAAGGUACGCCUUUUGUGUCCAAACUAAUGGCUGAUUUGUGUCGGCUCUUGCAGGUUAAGCACCUAAAAGCGUCCGUAUACCACCCCCAGACCGAUGGGCUCGUUGAAAGGUUCAACCAAACCUUAAAGCAGAUGCUACGGAGGGUGGUGAACGAGGAAGGAAGGAACUGUGAUCUCCUCCUACCCUAUGUCCUUUUCGCCGUCCGAGAGUGCCCCAGGCCUCCACGGGCUUUACCCCCUUUGAGCUCCUCUUUGGGCGGCGACCUCGAGGACUGCUGGACGUGGCAUGGGAAGCCUGGGAGGAACAGCCCUCCCCAUUCCGCUUGGUCAUUGAGUACGUGCAGGAAAUGCAGGAGAAGAUUGACCGAGUGGCCCCAAUCGUCCAGGAGCAUAUGAGAGCCGCCCAGGAGGAGUAGAAGCGAGUAUACGACCACCCAGCACAACCCCAAGAGUUCCAACCGGGCUAUCAGGUGCUCCUACUAGUGCCGAACAACUCCUGCUAGUUUCUAGCUCGAUGGCAAGGGCCGUACACAGUCCUCGAGAGGAAGGGGACCGUGAACUAUCAUGUGCAACAGCCCGGUAAGCGAGCCGACACCCGAACACAUCACAUAAACCUGUUAAUUGAACCACUUUUAAAUAUAAUCAAUUCUUCCCUAAGCACUGGCUAUGUACCUAAAUCACUUAAAUUAGCAGUUAUUAAACCCUUGAUUAAAAAACCUGACCUUGACCCAUCUCAAUUGUCCAGCUAUAGACCAAUAUCAAAUCUCCCCUUCAUCUCUAAGAUUUUAGAAAAUGUUGUAGCAAAGCGGUUAUGCUCGUACUUAGAUAGGAAUAACAUUCAUGAAAUGUAUCAGUCAGGAUUUAGACCUUAUCAUAGCACAGAGACAGCGUUAGUUAAAGUAAUAAAUGACCUUCUACUGACCUCUGAUCAGGGUUGUGUCUCGCUGCUUGUGUUACUAGACCUUAGUGCAGCUUUUGAUACUAUAGAUCACACUAUUCUCCUUGAUAGAUUAGAAAAUGUUGUUGGCAUUAAGGGAACAGUCCUCUCCUGGCUCAGGUCUUAUCUGACCGAUCGUUAUCAGUUCGUAGAUGUAAAUGGUGAUUUCUCCAUGCGUACUGAGGUUACUUUUGGAGUUCCACAGGGUUCUGUUUUAGGCCCACUGCUCUUUACUUUAUAUAUGCUACCCCUAGGACAAAUUAUUCGUAAACAUGGAAUUAGCUUCCACUGUUAUGCUGAUGAUACACAGUUGUAUGUUUCAGCGAAGCCAGAGGACGGACAGAAGCUUAGUAAAGUUGAGGACUGUGUAAAGGACAUUAGAUGUUGGAUGUUAACUAACUUCCUUUUACUUAAUUCUGAUAAAACAGAAAUACUUUUAUUAGGCCCACGUGUAGCUAGAAGUAAUCUUUCUGAUCACAUGGUUACUCUGGAUGGUCUUUCUGUUUCAUCAUGUACAGCAGUUAAAGACCUUGGAGUGAUUAUUGACUCCAGCCUAUCAUUUGAUGCCCAUGUAGAUAAUAUUACUAGGAUAGCUUUCUUUCAUCUCAGAAAUAUUUCUAAGAUAAGAAACAUAUUGUCACUACAUGAUGCGGAAAUACUAGUUCAUGCAUUUGUCACCUCUAGAUUAGAUUACUGUAAUGCCUUACUGUCUGGAUGUUCCAGUAGGAAUAUAAAUAAGCUCCAGUUACUCCAGAAUGCAGCUGCUAGAGUCCUAACUAGAACUAGAUGAUACGACCAUAUCACACCAAUAUUAUCAAUACUGCAUUGGCUCCCAGUAAAAUCUCGCAUUAACUAUAAGAUACUUUUAUUAACCUAUAAAGCACUAAACGGUCUCGCGCCACAAUAUCUAAGCGACCUUUUGGUUUUAUAUGAUCCGCCACGCCUACUUAGAUCAAAAGAUGCAGGCUACUUGACGGUACCUCGAAUAGUGAAGGCUACAGCAGGGGGAAGAGCCUUUGCUUAUAGAGCCCCACAGUUAUGGAAUAGUCUUCCUAUUAGUGUUCGGGACUCAGACACAGUCUCAGUAUUUAAGUCUAGGCUUAAAACGUAUUUGUUUACUCAAGCCUACCCUGACUAGAUUCUGUUCUACUACUUCGCAGUCAUAAUAAUCUUUUUUCUCCCUCUCUCCUUUCGCCGAGCCCCACACGACUUUAUGGAGACACUAGAGAUCCAGAUCCUUUCUGCCUCUGGAUGGAGCUCAGAUCUUCUCUAAUUCCAGACUGCUGGGACUACGGCUGCUCCUAAGGCUAUACAGACUUCAUAUAAAUCCAUAAUGAACUUUUUCACACUAUCUGUUGUUACCCAGAUGAGGAUGGGUUCCCUUCUGAGGAUGACACAACUGGUCCACCACGAGAUCAAAACCCAGCCAGGAGUGGUGGUGCAACAGCGGCCCUAUCGAGUCCCGGAGGCCCGCCGCCAGGCUAUUGAGGAGGAGAUUGGCUGAAUGCUGCAAGACAAUAUCAUUGAGGAGUCCAAUAGCCCCUGGCGUGCCAAAACCCGUAGUCGUGCCAAAACACGUAGUGGUAGGGCGGAGCCGCCGACACACCCCCGGCCAGGGAUUGGUGGACCGAUCGGGAAACAUCCACCAUCCAGCAAAUGAGGGGAGAGGACGAGUCAGAUCCAGACGAGGCCUCCGCUCUCUGACUAUACACGCGGCGUUGCUUGACGGCACAGAAGAGCCCUCAUUCAUCCGGGAAGCCCGGCGCGACCCCGGAAGGAUCCUGCAAUUACAGCCCAUACGCAAACACACGCGCACACGCACGCUCACACACACACACUCCCCCUGAACACCAAAGAAAGAAGACAAAAUAAAAGCAAAC